GUUUGAUCCUGGCUCAGAUUGAACGCUGGCGACGUGCUUAACACAUGCAAGUCGUGCGAGAAAGUAGACUUCGGUCUAUGAGUAGAGCGGCGCACGGGUGAGUAACGCGUGGAUGAUCUACCCUUGAGUUCGGGAUAACGGAACGAAAGAUCCGCUAAUACCGUAUAACAAUCCAUUUCAUCGUGGGUUCAAAGCAGGCCUCUUCGUGAAAGCUUGCGCUUGGGGAUGAGUCCGCGUCCCAUUAGCUUGUUGGCGGGGUAACGGCCCACCAAGGCAACGAUGGGUAGCUGGUCUGAGAGGAUGAUCAGCCACACUGGAACUGAAACACGGUCCAGACUCCUACGGGAGGCAGCAGUGGGGAAUAUUGCGCAAUGGGGGAAACCCUGACGCAGCGACGUCGUGUGAGGGAAGAAGGCCUUCGGGUCGUAAACCUCUGUCAGAAGGGAAGAACCACCAGGAGUCGAAUAGCCUCUUGGUCUGACGGUACCUUCAAAGGAAGCGCCGGCUAACUCCGUGCCAGCAGCCGCGGUAAUACGGAGGGCGCAAGCGUUAAUCGGAAUUACUGGGCGUAAAGCGUGCGUAGGCUGUUUGAUAAGUCAGACGUGAAAUCCCUCGGCUCAACCGGGGAACUGCGUUUGAUACUGUUGGACUAGAGUCCUGGAGAGGGUGGCGGNANUCCUUGNU
rnacentral:rRNA from 1 species